CCGGCGAGGGGAGUGAAAAAGAACCUGAAACCGUGUACGUACAAGCAGUGGGAGCCCCACCACUAAGCCAGUGGUGAGUCCACGUCAGCAUCCUUUGCCGAAGGUAAGGUUAACGGAGCGCAAGCGACGUUCAACCUCAAAAGAAGCAGAGGGGGCUUAGUGGUGGGGUGACUGCGUACCUUUUGUAUAAUGGGUCAGCGACUUAUAUUCUGUAGCAAGGUUAACCGAAUAGGGGAGCCGAAGGGAAACCGAGUCUUAACUGGGCGUUAAGUUGCAGGGUAUAGACCCGAAACCCGGUGAUCUAGCCAUGGGCAGGUUGAAGGUUGGGUAACACUAACUGGAGGACCGAACCGACUAAUGUUGAAAAAUUAGCGGAUGACCUGUGGCUGGGGGUGAAAGGCCAAUCAAACCGGGAGAUAGCUGGUUCUCCCCGAAAGCUAUUUAGGUAGCGCCUCGUGAACUCAUCUUCGGGGGUAGAGCACUGUUUCGGCUAGGGGGUCAUCCCGACUUACCAACCCGAUGCAAACUGCGAAUACCGAAGAAUGUUAUCACGGGAGACACACGGCGGGUGCUAACGUCCGUCGUGAAGAGGGAAACAACCCAGACCGCCAGCUAAGGUCCCAAAGUCAUGGUUAAGUGGGAAACGAUGUGGGAAGGCCCAGACAGCCAGGAUGUUGGCUUAGAAGCAGCCAUCAUUUAAAGAAAGCGUAAUAGCUCACUGGUCGAGUCGGCCUGCGCGGAAGAUGUAACGGGGCUAAACCAUGCACCGAAGCUGCGGCAGCGACGCUUAUGCGUUGUUGGGUAGGGGAGCGUUCUGUAAGCCGUCGAAGGUGUGCUGUGAGGCAUGCUGGAGGUAUCAGAAGUGCGAAUGCUGACAUAAGUAACGAUAAAGCGGGUGAAAAGCCCGCUCGCCGGAAGACCAAGGGUUCCUGUCCAACGUUAAUCGGGGCAGGGUGAGUCGACCCCUAAGGCGAGGCCGAAAGGCGUAGUCGAUGGGAAACAGGUUAAUAUUCCUGUACUUGGUGUUACUGCGAAGGGGGGACGGAGAAGGCUAUGUUAGCCGGGCGACGGUUGUCCCGGUUUAAGCAUGUAGGCGGAGGUUCCAGGUAAAUCCGGUACCUUUUAACGCUGAGGUGUGAUGACGAGGCACUACGGUGCUGAAGUAACAAAUGCCCUGCUUCCAGGAAAAGCCUCUAAGCAUCAGGUAACACGAAAUCGUACCCCAAACCGACACAGGUGGUCAGGUAGAGAAUACCAAGGCGCUUGAGAGAACUCGGGUGAAGGAACUAGGCAAAAUGGUGCCGUAACUUCGGGAGAAGGCACGCUGACAUGUAGGUGAAGCCCCUGCGGGUGGAGCUGAAGUCAGUCGAAGAUACCAGCUGGCUGCAACUGUUUAUUAAAAACACAGCACUGUGCAAACACGAAAGUGGACGUAUACGGUGUGACGCCUGCCCGGUGCCGGAAGGUUAAUUGAUGGGGUUAUCCUUAGGGAGAAGCUCUUGAUCGAAGCCCCGGUAAACGGCGGCCGUAACUAUAACGGUCCUAAGGUAGCGAAAUUCCUUGUCGGGU
rnacentral:rRNA from 1 species